rnacentral:rRNA from 1 species
UACGUAGGGGGGCGAGCGUUUGUCCGGAUUUAUUGGGCGUAAAGAGCGUGUAGGCGGCCAGGUAGGUCUGCUGUGAAAACUCGAGGCUCAACCUCGAGACGUCGGCGGAAACCAUCUGGCUAGAGUCCGGAAGAGGAGAGUGGAAUUCCUGGUGUAGCGGUGAAAUGCGCAGAUAUCAGGAAGAACACCCGUGGCGAAGGCGGCUCUCUGGGACGGUACUGACGCUGAGACGCGAAAGCGUGGGGAGCAAACAGG